ACAUCGGUAGCACACUGGUCAGUGAAGUCUGUCGGAAACAGAAAGACGCGGGUUCAAUUCCUGUCCGAUGUC
rnacentral:tRNA from 1 species